rnacentral:lncRNA from 1 species
GUGUUUGACUUCAACCAGAGUUGAAGAUCCCCCAUCUGCAAUACUGCUGCACCCCCACCUCAAGCCCCAGCUGAUUGAACCCCAGGUGGAUUCCUGAUUCAGGCAAUCCACAGGCUGGGCUGAAGCAAUCAUGAUGUCUCUCUAAGGAAUAUUAAUUAAAAGCCACAGAGACCCCAGUCAGUUUUAAGGAGGUGUGCCGCCAGAAACCAGGGUCAGCACCAUACCAAACCAAAGUUAUGGAGGAGUAAAAACCAAAAGUCUUGCAGAAGCAGCAGAUUUGGAGACAAAAAAAGCAGAACCCACAUGCAGAAAGAAAAGAGAGGCACCACGUGACCCUUGAGACAAAGUGACAGACAUUCCAGUGCUGCCAGACAGAUUUCCAGUAUCUGUGAGGUCCUGCUGUGCACCAGAGAAGAGAGUUCUGGGAAAACCCCUGCUAUGGGUUGAACUGUAUUCCCCAAACAUUCAUAUGUUGGAGCCUUAACCUCCAGGACCUUAGAAUGGGACCUUACUUGGAAAUAGAGUCAUUGCAGAUGUAAUUAGUUAAGCUGAGUUCCUACUGGAGUAGGGUGGGCCCCUAAUCCAAUAUAUUGUUGUCCUUAUAAAAAGGGGAAGUCUGGAGAAUAGUUAUCCUUCCAAGAUAAACUAUUUGCCAAAUAUGUAACAGAGUAACCAGCCAUUUCCAUAUGGGAUUUCUAGUCAUUUCCCAGUUAAAAAUUAAGGAAUAGGUACACGCAGUAAGAGCACUCAGUGAAGAUGAGGGCAGAGAUCAAGAUGCCACAUCUACAAACCAAGGAACACCAAAGAUUGCCAGAAACUAUCAGAAGCUAGGGGAAAGGCAUGGAACAGUUACUUCUUCACAGCCGUCAGAAGGAACCAACCCUGUUGACACCCGGACCUCAGACGUGAAGCCUCCAGAACCGUGUGGAGUGGCCAUAUAUAAAACCUGACUGUUACUCACAUAAAAUAUUGGCCUGAAACUCUCAGACUUCGAAGCAAGUAGCAGAUUUGGAUGGAAUACACCACAAAUUAAUAAAGCCAUAAUCUAGAGAAGAUUUGGACUGUGCCAGUGUAGAAGUUCUGGUUCCAAGAGGAUGAAUGUUUUCACAGGGGAAUACAGUAAAUUAUGCCUCUUACCGGUCACUUCAGGAUCCAUGUGCCAAGUAAUCAGAACCAAGGAAAGGGUCACAGUGACAGGUGUAAUUGAUCCUGAACAUCACAAAGAAGUAACUGCUCAUGUCAGCAGGAGGAAGACAUUUGGUUCUGGACUUUGACUUGGGACUCCCCUUGCCAAAUGUUGAUGGUAAAUGGACAAAAGCAACAGCCACAUCCUAAGAAAAGCGUGAUGACCAGGAACUCAAAUCUCUAAGAAAGAAGAGUCUAGGCUGUCCACAAGUAAGCCACCAGACCAGCAGAAGUACUAGCUGAGAGUUAAAACAUCUAGAAUGGAUAACAGAGGAGGGAGAAGUCUUCUCAUUCACCGACUGAAGCCUGCCCUGCAUCCAGAGAGCCCACUUAAAGAGACUCUGCAGCUAAGUUUCAAUUCCCGGGAUGGCAAAAAGACUUACUAUAAAAUUAAUUUUCAAAGACAUAUUUAGAAUCCUCUAUUUUCCUAUUCCAGAUGUAAAUUUUAAGAGAUGGUUUGAAGAAAAGGAUCCUUAAUAACGCAGUGAAAUGAAAGGAAGUUACUGCCAACAAGAGACUGUAGUUCAUGUAAAAUAUGUCCCACAUGGGUGUCCAGGGGAAAAGCUAUAGCAGUACAAGCAGUUAUUCUCCUCCUCUGAAAAGUUAUAAAAACAAAGCCAAACAAAAUAACAACAGCAAAACAGUCCACAAACAAAUCAAUGUC